GACAAUCCUCUGCAUGCCCGGGCCCCCAGCACUUCAAUCUGUGUGUGUGUGUGUGUAUAUGUGUGUAUGUAUAUGUGUGUGUGUAUAUAUAUAUAUAUAUAUAUAUAUAUAUAUAUAUAUAUAUAUAUAUAUAUAUAUAUAUAUACACUUUGAAGUGCUGGGGCCCGGGCAUGCAGAGGAUUGUC
rnacentral:miRNA from 1 species